UGCCUACGGCCGCCGCGAGCGGCAGCGCUAUGACACUGUACUCGCUGAUGCAGGGCUCCAUGCUUGCCGUGAAAAAGGAUGUUGGAUAGACCGGAGGAAUGACAAUCUGACUCGAGCACGACGGCCCUUCGAUGUCGAUGCGGCUCUCCGAGGCAAAGUUCUUUAUCAGGCCGAGCUCCACGAUACAUUAUAUCUGGAUGAUCGGUUUGCCUCGUGAUAUGUGCACUUCGUAGCAACACGAGCCCUGCUUGUUAUCUAAGUGACAUUAUGAGGAGUUGUCAUGUCUAUGUAAACACUAGUACAAAGUAGGUAUAGGUUCUUCGAAAUUGCAUAGGAGCACUCGAUGACUCCCCACCCUGAAAUCUGUUCCAUAAAUUCUCCUCGGGAUCCACAAUCACUAUAUUAGCUGUUUUGUAUUCACCCAUUCUCUCUCACGUAUUCAGCAUGCCGUGCUGCGUAUGUCCGUACUAAAGCUGACGCGUUUUUGUCCUGAUGGCAGAAACUUCUGUCCAAAGUGUUGGAGCCGGCCUCAUGCACCAUCUCCCCAACCACCAUCUGCCCAACUACCAACCUCUGAAAUGCACCCGCACUGGCAACGGCUCUUAGGCAAUUCACACGCAACAGUCAUCUUCCUCCCUGGUCAUGCUCAUAUUUAAGUUCAUCUUCCUCACAUCUCCCAUAUCCAUUCGUUUCAUUCAUCUCAUACAUAGAUGGUUCUGAUAACCAUGUCAAGCUCUUCGUCCUGCCUUCUUCCACUCGAUGAGGAGCCUCCCCUCCCCCUCAUGUUAAAUGCAACUUCUGCAAAUGGGAGGACAACUACAUCAAUGUCAUACGCACCAAAUGGCCAAGGCUCUUCACUGUCCCAUCUCGCGAAGACCGCAAGUUCCACCGCUGCAUCAUCGCUCUUCUGUUACUCAUUCAGUUUCCAGUGAUGUUCAUCUGCUGCAAGGUCGCUUGAAACUGCCCAAGCAUGUCGUAGUUAUCUAGUUUCCUCCUUCGUCUUGCAGACAAUCUAUCGACUAAUCAUUUAGUCGUAAUUUCAAUUCGAUCAUGUCCUUUGUUUCUUCGUUAAAGCAGUGUCUGCCCCCGUGAGAUGGACUUCCAAUUACCAUGUAAUAUU